CUGCAGAUCCCGGGGCUGAGAGCACCGCGCACCACGCAGAGGCCGGGCGGACCCAGCCGAGGCGAGCGAGCGAGAUAGCGCGCGCGGGCGGCGGACAAAUCUGAGCUGAGCCGGGCCAGGCGGCCGCUCCCUGCAGGGCUCUGCGCGGCGCGCCGCGGCUGCCGCCGGCUCCGGCUUCGGGCCAUGAGCCCCUCCGUGGCUGGGCACUGAACCCGCCACCGGUCCCGCGCUCCAGGACCCGCCGCCGGCUUCCGGCUUUCCGAAGCCCCCUCAGGAUUUCCUCAACAAGCAUGGAACUGAAGGCCGAGGAGGAGGAGGUGGGUGGCGUCCAGCCGGUGAGCAUCCAGGCCUUCGCCAGCAGCUCCACACUGCACGGCUUGGCCCACAUCUUCUCCUACGAGCGGCUGUCUCUGAAGCGGGCACUGUGGGCCCUGUGCUUCCUGGGCUCACUGGCCGUGCUGCUGUGCGUGUGCACAGAGCGUGUGCAGUACUACUUCCGCUACCACCACGUCACCAAGCUCGACGAGGUGGCUGCUUCCCAGCUCACCUUCCCUGCCGUCACGUUGUGCAACCUCAAUGAAUUUCGCUUUAGCCAAGUCUCCAAGAAUGACCUGUAUCAUGCUGGGGAGCUGUUGGCCCUGCUCAACAACAGGUAUGAGAUACCAGACACACAGAUGGCAGAUGAAAAACAGCUAGAGAUACUGCAGGACAAGGCCAACUUCCGCAGCUUCAAGCCCAAGCCUUUCAACAUGAGGGAAUUCUACGACAGAGCAGGGCAUGACAUUCGAGACAUGCUGCUCUCCUGCCACUUCCGGGGGGAGGUCUGCAGCGCAGAAGACUUCAAGGUGGUCUUCACACGGUAUGGAAAGUGCUACACGUUCAACUCAGGCCGAGAUGGGCGGCCACGGCUGAAGACCAUGAAGGGUGGGACGGGCAAUGGGCUGGAAAUCAUGCUGGACAUCCAGCAGGACGAGUACCUGCCAGUGUGGGGGGAGACGGAUGAGACGUCCUUCGAAGCAGGCAUCAAAGUGCAGAUCCAUAGUCAGGAUGAACCUCCUUUCAUUGACCAGCUGGGCUUUGGUGUGGCUCCAGGCUUCCAGACAUUUGUGGCCUGCCAGGAGCAGCGGCUCAUCUACCUGCCCCCACCCUGGGGUACCUGCAAAACUGUUACCACGGACUCGGAAUUGGAUUUCUUCGACUCCUACAGCAUCACCGCCUGCCGCAUCGACUGUGAGACGCGGUACCUGGUGGAAAACUGCAACUGCCGAAUGGUACACAUGCCAGGGGAUGCCCCAUACUGCACUCCAGAGCAGUACAAGGAGUGUGCAGAUCCUGCUCUGGACUUCCUGGUGGAGAAGGACCAGGAGUACUGUGUGUGCGAAAUGCCCUGCAACCUGACCCGCUAUGGCAAGGAGCUGUCCAUGGUCAAGAUCCCCAGCAAAGCCUCAGCCAAGUACCUGGCCAAGAAGUUCAACAAGUCUGAGCAGUACAUAGGGGAGAACAUCCUGGUGCUGGAUAUUUUCUUUGAAGUCCUCAACUAUGAGACCAUUGAACAGAAGAAAGCCUAUGAGAUUGCAGGGCUCCUGGGUGAGCUGCUGAUGGCACCUGACCCCUUGCCAUGCCAUGGGCAUGGUGUGGCUCCCUAUUACCCAAAGCAGGGUGCUCACCUCUGUCCCAGAAGGGCCGCCAUCCCCAGGGCCUUCCUCCAAACCCUGCUGUCUUGGUGACAUUGGGGGCCAGAUGGGGCUGUUCAUCGGGGCCAGCAUCCUCACGGUGCUGGAGCUCUUCGACUACGCCUACGAGGUCAUCAAGCACAAGCUGUGCCGCCGAGGGAAGUGCCAGAAGGAGGCCAAAAGGAGCAGCGCGGACAAGGGCGUAGCCCUCAGCCUGGACGACGUCAAAAGACACAACCCGUGCGAGAGCCUCCGGGGCCAUCCUGCCGGGAUGACGUACGCUGCCAACAUCCUACCUCACCAUCCGGCCCGAGGCACGUUUGAAGACUUUACCUGCUGAGCCCUGCAGGCCACUGAACCAAAGGCCUAGAUAGGGAGGUCUAGGAGAGCAAGGGGGUCCCCAGCUGCCCACCCCCCACAUGUGCCCUGGGGACUCAACCCCCACUCCUGGACAGUCCUUUCCUCUUGAUUGUGGUGAGGAAGGAAUCUUGACCAUGGAGACCUCUCCCUGCCUCAAUCCCAUUCUUUUUGUGUUUAACAAAACUAAUCUAAAUCUUAAAAAAGAGACUAAAAAGGGAGAAUAGGGCAAGGGAUCUCAGGCUGCCCCUGUCUCCCCCAUGCUGCCUCCCCUAGCUCCCAGCCGGAAUUCUGUCUUUCUGGCUGUCUGUCAUCUGAGUGUCCACCUACAUUCUGCUGCCACCAGUCACCAAAGCCCCCUCCCCAGUGAGGGGUGGAAGGGAUCCCCCGGGCCUGGAAUUUGGCCCCAAACCAGAGAAUGUAUCUUAAGGGGGAGGGCUAGUGGGGGGGCUUCCCCAGCCUUAAGAGACCCUCUCAGCCCAGUAACUGCCCCCAAAUCCAAGUCUCCAGGCAGGAAUAAAACCCCAAUCCCAUUCCUUCACACCAUGUGGAAUCUCUAGGAGGGUGUGGGUGGGAGAUCCCCUGAAGAAAUGGAGAUAGGGACGUGAUGUUGUCCUGGUGCUGUAGGCUACAUUCUGAUAUCACAAGUUUCCCUCCCCCCAUCCAAAAAAAGCUGCUGGACAGAAAUCCCAAGAGGCAGCCCUCCUCUGUCAUUCCUUAAAAGACAUGGCUGGUUAGCUUCCAGCUCAGGGAGAGGGGCACUGGUGCCUGACCUCACUAGUCUCUCUCCCAGAGGCCCUUGCAGAGGCCACAUCCAUAAAUUUUCUUAUGGAACUCUCCCAAGUCCUCCUUCCCAACUUCAUUUGCUUCUCUCAACAACCUCAUCUGCAUUUUCUAUUUCUAUAUGAUACAGACUCUAUAUUGCUAUAUCUCUGUAUAUACUUUCCCCUAACCCUGUCUGUCUCUACCCCAUCCCUUCUUGUCUCUGAGAACCAUCCUCCCGCCCCGAUUUCCCCCUUCUGUGUUUCUGCCCCCUCCCUGGUCUCUGAAUGCCUUCGCCUGUAUAAAGAGUUGGACUCUCUCCCCUGGUGUCUGUACUGUGUACACACAUCCCUCUGAGAAGCACAAGGAGACGACACGCGCAUUGUAACCUUCGCACUGUCUCGGUGGCGAGAAAGGAAGCUGUGAAUCACAAGCUCUGCCUCUUUCUGGCCUCACCCUCUUCCCCCAACCUGGGCACCCUUUGCCCCCCUCCCCCGCAGCCUUAACAUUCCCUUCCCCUGCUCCAUCCAUCCCAAUGCCCUUUCCUAGCUGACUGUGGCCUCCCCAGGGUAGGAGUUGCUAUAAAGUCAUUCCCUACCUAGGGGAUGGAGAUCUGUUCUGGACACUGAGCCAAGAGUGUCAGAAACAGAAGAGAGCUGGAGAUUGGUGACUCUUGAAGCUGGGCAGCAAGUUGCUGACAGGCAGAAGCUGAGGUCCUCAGUUAGUGGCCUUUUCCUCCUUCUGGGGUGUCCAGCCCCCUUUCCUCACCUGAUACUCAAGCCCACCAUUUAUAUUUUCUGGUGAGGUAGGGUUUGGUAGUGGGAGGCCUAGAGGAGGAGUUGGGAGGCUCUGCUAUUCUGUUCCUCCCAACCUUUAGGAGAGACAAGUGAGGUGGAGGGUCUACCCUACCCCUCCACCAGGCACUCCUCCCAGGCCAGAGCCCCUCCCCUUCCCAGGCUUUCUCUGCCCAGAUGUCUUUUGGUCUCCAAUCCCAGGACAGGACCUGUGGGCAGGUCACCUGUGCAUUGAUCUGGAGCUGCAGAGUAAGGCUAUAGGAUCUUUGGAAACUCUUGGUUUCUAGGGGUUCAUUAGAGAUCAUACCUCCCCAAAGGAAAGGAGGAACACGGCCAAGAAGCAUGCACUGGAUAGGGGAACAGCAGGCAGGGCUCUGGGUGACGCAUGCCUCUGGUCUAAUAAACUGGGUUUUGACCAUCUCUUCUUCA